rnacentral:rRNA from 1 species
GUGCCUACGGGAGGCAGCAGUGAGGAAUAUUGGUCAAUGGACGCAAGUCUGAACCAGCCAUGCCGCGUGCAGGAAGACGGCUCUAUGAGUUGUAAACUGCUUUUGUACGAGGGUAAACGCAGAUACGUGUAUCUGUCUGAAAGUAUCGUACGAAUAAGGAUCGGCUAACUCCGUGCCAGCAGCCGCGGUAAUACGGAGGAUGCGAGCGUUAUCCGGAUUUAUUGGGUUUAAUGGGUGCGCAGGCGGAGGCACAAGUCAGCGGUAAAAUCGCGGGGCUAAACCCCGCUCCGCCGUUGAAACUGUGU